ACGAACGCUGGCGGCGUGCCUAAUACAUGCAAGUAGAACGCACAGUUUAUACCGUAGCUUGCUACACCAUAGACUGUGAGUUGCGAACGGGUGAGUAACGCGUAGGUAACCUGCCUGGUAGCGGGGGAUAACUAUUGUAAACGAUAGCUAAUACCGCAUAAUAUUAAUUAUUGCAUGAUAAUUAAUUGAAAGGUGCAAUUGCACCACUACCAGAUGGACCUGCGUUGUAUUAGCUAGUAGGUGAGGUAACGGCUCACCUAGGCGACGAUACAUAGCCGACCUGAGAGGGUGAUCGGCCACACUGGGACUGAGACGCGGCCCAGACUCCUACGGGAGGCAGCAGUAGGGAAUCUUCGGCAAUGGACGAAAGUCUGACCGAGCAACGCCGCGUGAGUGAAGAAGGUUUUCGGAUCGUAAAGCUCUGUUGUAAGAGAAGAACGGGUGUGAGAGUGGAAAGUUCACACUGUGACGGUAUCUUACCAGAAAGGGACGGCUAACUACGUG
rnacentral:rRNA from 1 species